rnacentral:rRNA from 1 species
AGUGAACGCUGGCGGUAGGCCUAACACAUGCAAGUCGAACGGCAGCACAGUAAGAGCUUCUGCUUACGGGGGCGGAGGGGCGAAUGGUGGCGAAAAACAUGGGAGUUAGUUUUUUAUGGGGGGCGAACGCGGGCAAACUUACCGCAUACCUCCUGAGGACCAACGGGGGAAAGCAGCGGACCUCCGGCCAUCGGACGAUCCAAGGACCGAAUGUCGGAUUAGUUGGUUGGCGGGGUAAAGGCCCACCAAGGCGACGAUCCGUAGCUGGUCUGAGAGGAUGAUCAGCCACACUGGAACUGAGACACGGUCCAGACUCCUACGGGAGGCAGCAGUGGGGAAUAUUGGACAAUGGGCGCAAGCCUGAUCCAGCCAUGCCGCGUGGGUGAAGAAGGCCUUCGGGUUGUAAAGCCCUUUUGUUGGGGAAGAAAAGCAGCAAGUUAAUACCCCGCUGUUCUGACGUUACCCAAAGAAUAAGCACCGGCUAACUUCGUG